rfam:Firmicutes bacterium CAG:103 genomic scaffold, scf153
UCAUGUAUAUUGGGGGGCUGGGUCAUUCCCGGCUGAGACGAGUGAAUCGAAGCUCGAUACCCACAGACCUGAUCCGGAUAAUGCCGGCGUAGGAAACGAAAUCUAUCAUACU